UACUAUAGUAUUCGAGACGAGAUUCAUGAUUUAUUAAAAAGUUUUUCUUGGAUUUGUGGUGGAUAUGGUGUACGAUGGAGACCUCGCUUUUCUUUGUAUGUGACGGUGGCAGCUGAAAAACAAAAUAAUGAAGAUAACUUAAGAAAA